rnacentral:rRNA from 1 species
AACAGGAUUAGAUACCCUGGUAGUCCACGCCCUAAACGAUGUCUACUAGUUGUCGGGUCUUAAUUGACUUGGUAACGCAGCUAACGCGUGAAGUAGACCGCCUGGGGAGUACGGUCGCAAGAUUAAAACUCAAAGGAAUUGACGGGGACCCGCACAAGCGGUGGAUGAUGUGGAUUAAUUCGAUGCAACGCGAAAAACCUUACCUACCCUUGACAUGGCUGGAAUCCUUGAGAGAUCAGGGAGUGCUCGAAAGAGAACCAGUACACAGGUGCUGCAUGGCUGUCGUCAGCUCGUGUCGUGAGAUGUUGGGUUAAGUCCCGCAACGAGCGCAACCCUUGUCAUUAGUUGCUACGAAAGGGCACUCUAAUGAGACUGCCGGUGACAAACCGGAGGAAGGUGGGGAUGACGUCAAGUCCUCAUGGCCCUUAUGGGUAGGGCUUCACACGUCAUACAAUGGUACAUACAGAGCGCCGCCAACCCGCGAGGGGGAGCUAAUCGCAGAAAGUGUAUCGUAGUCCGGAUUGUAGUCUGCAACUCGACUGCAUGAAGUUGGAAUCGCUAGUAAUCGCGGAUCAGCAUGUCGCGGUGAAUACGUUCCCGGGUCUUGUACACACCGCCCGUCACACCAUGGGAGCGGGUUUUACCAGAAGUAGGUAGCUUAACCGUAAGGAGGGCGCUUACCGCGGUAGGAUUCGUGACUGGGGUGAAGUCGUAACAAGGUAACC